AGAUUGAACGCUGGCGGCAUGCCUUACACAUGCAAGUCGAACGGCAGCACGGGAGCAAUCCUGGUGGCGAGUGGCGAACGGGUGAGUAAUACAUCGGAACGUGCCCAAUCGUGGGGGAUAACGCAGCGAAAGCUGUGCUAAUACCGCAUAAGAUCUACGGAUGAAAGCAGGGGAUCGCAAGACCUUGCGCGAAUGGAGCGGCCGAUGGCAGAUUAGGUAGUUGGUGAGGUAAAGGCUCACCAAGCCUUCGAUCUGUAGCUGGUCUGAGAGGACGACCAGCCACACUGGGACUGAGACACGGCCCAGACUCCUACGGGAGGCAGCAGUGGGGAAUUUUGGACAAUGGGCGAAAGCCUGAUCCAGCCAUGCCGCGUGCAGGAUGAAGGCCUUCGGUUGUAACUGCUUUGUACGAACGAAAGUCUCUUUACUAAUAAGAGGAUCAUGACGUACCGUAAGAAUAAGACACCGGAUAACUACGUACG
rnacentral:rRNA from 1 species